CUGCUCGGCCUUCUUCACCUUUUCUGGGGAGGGUGGUUUGCUGUUUUCCCUCAGCUCCCAUUGCUCCUCUGGGAAAGUUAAUUCACCUGCUCCACGGCUCUGCUCUGGUUUCUAGCUCUUUACUCUUCACGGCGAGGGCUGUGACCGUGGUGCUCUCCUCUCCCUUCCCCUGGCCCUAUGGACGCCGUACAGCGGGAAAACGCUGAUGUUGCAGGUGCAUGGAGGCCUGGGUUUAACACUUUUUUUUUUCUGCCUGGAAAGGGGAGCUUAAACUUCGGUUAAGGACCUUUGCUGCGAGGCCUGGGGAAUCUUCUGAAACUGUAAAUGCUGGAAUUAAAAGUCUGUACUUGACACCUCCCAUAAAACCAAAACCAAAUGUGCGCUUUGAGAGCAUGCCAUCAGAAAUGCUGCUGAAGAUAUUUUCCUGUUUGGAUGCUGUGUCCCUAUUGGCUGUUGGUUGUGUGAAUAAGCGCU
rnacentral:lncRNA from 1 species